CCACCGACAUUUGGCAUCCCCUCACAACUCCUUUUGCUUCCCUCAGCUGUAUUUCCAUCACUUCCAUCACUAGAACCUUGAGUCUCCGCACUCUGAGAUAGCCUGUGGUCCCCGCCCUCAGCACUCUCCGCAUUAGUAUUACCAUUGCCUAUUGACAUUGCAAGCCCAUCAAAUCUUUUCAACUUCUUCAUUAAACCCCUAUCUGUAUUUCCAGUAGAUUUUUUAGGCGUUUCUACACUCACAGGUGUUGCGGCAGCAGGUGAUGAUGGAACACCAGAAACAUUAGGAUGCAAUCCAAUUGGAACUGUUGGAUGCGCAUAUACUCCUCCAUGAGAGUACACUGCUGCAUAAGGGGCUCCAUAAGGUGGCAUCAUAGGCUGUGG
rnacentral:misc_RNA from 1 species